UCUUCCCUCUUUCUUCGUGCCUAAUACAUGCAAGUCGAGCGAACAGACGAGGAGCUUGCUCCUCUGACGUUAGCGGCGGACGGGUGAGUAACACGUGGAUAACCUACCUAUAAGACUGGGAUAACUUCGGGAAACCGGAGCUAAUACCGGAUAAUAUAUUGAACCGCAUGGUUCAAUAGUGAAAGACGGUGUUGCUGUCACUUAUAGAUGGAUCCGCGCCGCAUUAGCUAGUUGGUAAGGUAACGGCUUACCCAGGCGACGGUGCGUAGCCGACCUGAGAGGGGGCUCGGCGACAGUGGAGGUGAGCCACGGCCCAGACUCCUACGGGAGGCACCAGUAGGGAAUCUUCGGAACGGUGCGAAAGCCUGACGGAGCAACGCGGGGGGAGUGAUGAAGGUCUUCGUGCCGUAAAACUGUGUUAUUGGGGAAGAACAAAUGUGUAUGUAACUAUGCACGUCUGGCCGGUACCUAAUAAGAAAGCCCCGGUGAAUUCGGU
rnacentral:rRNA from 1 species